rnacentral:rRNA from 1 species
UGCCCAGUGAAAUUUUUUUAACGGCCGCGGUACUCUGACCGUGCAAAGGUAGCAUAAUCAUUUGCCUUAUAAUUGAAGGCUUGUAUGAAUGGUUUGACAAGAAUGAAGCUGUCUCUUUAUAAUUAAUCUGAAUUUUAUAUAUAGGUGAAGAAGCCUAUAUUUUAUUGAAAGACAAGAAGACCCUAUCGAGCUUUAAAAAAGUUAAUAAGCCUAAAAAUCAAUAUUAAAAUAUAGAUUUUGUUAUUAAAUCAUUUUAGUUGGGGCGACUGAGGAACAAGCAAAGCUUCCUAUAUAAAUAAUAAAACAUUCAAGUAUUGACCCAGAAAUACUGAUUAAAGAAAUUAGUUACCGUAGGGAUAACAGCAUUAUCUUUUUUGAGAGCUCUAAUCGAAAAAAAGGUUUGUGACCUCGAUGUUGGACCAGAAUAUCCUAAAGAUGCAGCCGUCUUUAAGGGUUGGUCUGUUCGACCAUUAAAAUUCUACGUGAUCUGAGUUCAGACCGGCGUGAGCCAGGUCAGUUUCUAUCUUCAAUUUUUACAAUGAACUUAGUACGAAAGGACCAGCUUAUUAUAAAAUAUUUAUUUAAUCUGAUAAAAUAUAAAGUGUAAUUGAAUUAGUAACAAAAUAUAAACUAAAAAUCAAAUUAGCAAAGAUUUAAUGCAAUUGACUUAGGAUCAAUAGACAUAGGUGAAAUUCCUUUAUUUGAUAUAUAAAGGUGGCAGAUGAA